GUGAGUAGAAGUGACCUGUGCAUUUUGGAGCAGAAACUUUAAGUUAUGGCCUUGUUCGGUAAUCUCUCUUACCCUUUUGCUACUCCUUCUGCUAGGAUCAGAAAUGAAGACAACUUGAAGGAGAGCUAAUGUUGACUUCCAUUGUCAUGUUACACGAGCGAGAAAUAAGCCUUUAUUUUUUUGAACCACUAAGAUUUCAGGGUUGUUAUUGCAGCAUAAACAAAAGAGACCUAACUAAUACAGUGUGUUUAUUUUAUUCUGUUUUCCUCUUUCCUGUUUCAUCUAUAAUCAACACUUAAAAAUGGAUACUGAGAGGAAAGUUUGGCCAGAAGAUUAUCAUAGUAUCGAUGCCUCUGACCAUGAAGUUUAUAGCUGAGUGUCUGGAAAAGAGGAAUGCUCUUUUUCAUGUUCAGCAUAAAAAUACUCAUCUACCAGGCUGGGAUGAAUGCAGGCCAUGAGGAUACCCCAUGGUUCUCCUACCACCAGAUGCUACUGAGGCUAAACUGACUGGACUGAGGAAAAAUAUCUGUGGGGAAAACUUUCUUUCAGAAUCCAACUUUGAACCAGAGAAAUCCAUUCUCUUGAAGCUGUCUGCUGUGGAGAAGUUGGCCUUACCAAUCUGCCUUUGAAGUUCAAGUUAUACAGGAUCUGCGAGGCUACCUGUGAAUGAAUGGUUGGUUGGUCACUACUUGCAAGUUUUUCAGGAGCUCCUGAAAGAUUACUGCAUAAAUAAGGGAAGAUGGAGACCAGACCUCUGGCUACUGUUGCUGCCACCACUACAGAUACCACCUUCACCCUUAUGAACCCCCUAUUUACUGAACAUUCUCUAUAUGCCAGAUGCAAAAUUGGCUACCACAUUGGAAACUGAUAUUGAAUUUCUCAACGAGUCCAACAGAGUCAGUUUUCCUCCAACACUGAAACAGACCUUGCUUUCUUCAGUUGAGCAACAACUAAAGAUUAUGGACCCAGCUCGUGUGGAGGUGCCAUAUUGCAUAAACAGUGCAUACAGUGAGCCCUCGCAUUCACACUCAGCAUGAUGUGAUUACGACAGUAUGUAUUUCCAUAGGGACUAAAUCAUGCUUAGGCAGAGCAGUUUUACAUCUUUCUCAUGCCCAUUCACUUUAGGGCAUGUGUUUGUUGGGUGGCAUUGUCAGCAUUGUUUAAUUAUUUACCUCUUUUGCAUUAUUUAAAUUGGUUGUCUCUUUGCUUUAUUUUUCUUUUAUAGGAGAAGUGACGAUAUUUAAUAAAAUUUAAUGUGAUGGUGCAACUUCAAUGUAUAUCUAUAUACUCAUAGUAGUUUUAGUGAUGUUCUAUUCAGUUCAAUAAACAUUUAUUAGAGGCUUAUUUUAUGUUUGCAAGUAUACAACAUUUAUGUAAAAUCUUAGGACCAAUCAGGAAAGACUCAUGGGAAAGUCCUGAAUCAGCUACCAGUUCUCAUCUUUCUUCCUCUGACUCAUACAUGACUCUUCUGUCCUUUAAAUAAGAGAGUGAUGCUUUAUUUGAAGGAUAGUGAUAGUGACUUGUGGAGUGAGUAAAAGUACAGCUCCUUAUGGUGAAGGUGUAGAAGAGGACCAAGGAGAUGUACAGUCAGCCCUGCACAUUUUAUACUUGAUUAUAUUCCAUCAUGUGCAUAUUUUUACUGUUGUACUACAGAUACCCACCCUAAUCAUUUUUAUUUAGUUAUUUUUUAUUUUAUUUUAAAUUCUGGGAUACAUGUGCAGAACACGCAGAUUUAUUACAUAGGUAUACAUGUAUCAUGGUGGUUUGCUGCACCUAUCAACCUGUCAUCUAGGUUUUAAGCCCCACAUG
rnacentral:lncRNA from 10 species